CGACAAUAAUGCUUAGCACGUUGAAAUUGAGUGGGUCUUCUUUGAGCUUUCUCCUCUCGGUGAUGCAGAUAGCAAUGACAAAGAUGGUCAGGUAUGUCCACUCAACUGCAUAUACAUAUGAUCAGAAAUCCACCCUUGCGUGGAUGUUCAAAAGUGAAUGAUAGUUCAGGGAAGGAGUUGCAGCUCUGCUUGCCUAUAACACGACAAGAAGAUGAAAACAAUGGUUCAACUGACUGGAAGCUUUGAUUCACAGCAUGGCCUUGACAAAACAACAUGGGAACAAAUACUGGCCGGUGAAGAAAUUCACUUGCACGCGCUCGCCAUGUCGGCGGGAGAUGGCACAAUUUAGGAGUUGCUUUAGCCAUGCAGGUUAUUUUUAAAGGCUGCACAAGUUGACUACUAUCACCGCUAUUUUGCAUGCAUCAAAUGGGGAAAGAUGGCUCGUUCUAGACCUGGCUUAAACUGUCAGCGUGUGUUAUGGAAUUAUCGCAUGUGAAAGUUUGAGCCAUAUUCACCUUGAAAGAUCCAAGGUUGGAACAAAUUCCUGCAACGACGCGUCUCCCAUUUUCGCAUAAGCGAAAUGAGAAGGUUGAAGUGGAAUGGUGCCUUGUGGUUUCUGUGAAUCUAGAGGGAGCUGUUGCCCUCUUCUUUAUUUGUCCGUCAAACAUCUGGGAGACUGGGAGGAAGGGUCAAGGCACGGUCAACUCUCACCGUGAUCGUACUGUGAAUGAGCACGAGUGAUGGUGCUUUGACGACUGAAACCAAGAAAAUUCUCUCCAUGAUAUUCUUCUACGUUCUAACUUCUACCUACCUAAGAAACUUGUUACUACUAUCUUCUUGUGUUUAUAGCAAAAGGAAUGAAAGGAUCUAUUCGGAACAUAGAAAUUUUAUGUUGUGGGAUUUUUAUACUAGUAAACAGUUCGGACUGAUUUUCACAAACUGAAGAGGCCCUCAACGAUUGACGGGGGUGACGAUAUAUUUGUAAUGAAAGUAAUUUAUGAAUAAAAAUUUUAUAUAUGUAU